GGGGAUAUAGCUCAGUUGGUCGAGUGCUUGCCUCACACUCACAAGGCCCUAGGUUCAAUCCCCAGUACCACCA
rnacentral:tRNA from 1 species